rnacentral:rRNA from 1 species
CCUACGGGUGGCAGCAGUGGGGAAUAUUGCGCAAUGGGCGAAAGCCUGACGCAGCGACGCCGCGUGAGGGAUGAAGGUCUUCGGAUCGUAAACCUCUGUCAGCAGGGAAGAACGGUCACUGUGCUAAUCAGCAGUGAAUUGACGGUACCUGCACAGGAAGCACCGUCUAACUCCGUGCCAGCAGCCGCGGUAAUACGGAGGGUGCGAGCGUUAAUCGGAAUUACUGGGCGUAAAGCGCUCGUAGGCGGUAUGUCAAGUCAAGGGUGAAAGCCCCGGGCUCAACGUGGGAACUGCCUUUGAAACUGGCAAACUGGAGUGUGGGAGAGGAUAGUGGAAUGCCAGGUGUAGGAGUGAAAUCCGUAGAUAUCUGGAGGAACAUCGGUGGCGAAGGCGACUAUCUGGCACAUAACUGACGCUGAGGAGCGAAAGCGUGGGUAGCAAACAGGAUUAGAUACCCUUGUAGUC